rnacentral:rRNA from 1 species
UAUUCUAGAUUUGAUGUGGUGUAGGAAUGUUAAUAGUAAUAGUGAAAUGUAUAUAGAAUUGGUAUAAAAUAAAUUGGAUAUUGGUAGCUUGAAAAGGUAGAUAUUCGAUUCACGAAAGCUUGAGGUGUGACAGGGAUUUGAGACCCCUUUAAUUCGAGACUGAAAUUAUGCAGGCAAUGUUUGUGGAUCUCUUUUUAACAAAUAAAGGUUCUUUUCCUAAGGAGUACGCUUUCACUUGUGAAACUUAAAUGUUCUGGUGGUGGUUUAGAACAAUAGUGGAAUAGAUGAUUUAAUUCGAUGAAAUGCGAUAAAGCUUAUCUGUUAUCUGAAAUAAUACCUAGGUAUAGGUAGAAUUCUAUUCGAGGUAGUGCAUGGCUGUUGGAGGGUAAUGUUUUGUAAUAUCUGGUUUCGGACAGGAAUAGCCGAUACACUUUUAGUUGUUAUAGGUCUUUUGCAUCUUUUCAUAUGGUCUUUUAGAUAGAAUAACGUCGAGUCAUUAUGCUCUUUAGUUCGGAGAUAUUCAUGUGUUACUAGGAGAGGUAUAUAG